rnacentral:rRNA from 1 species
UACGGAGGGGGCUAGCGUUGUUCGGAAUUACUGGGCGUAAAGCGUACGUAGGCGGCUUUGUAAGUUAGAGGUGAAAGCCCGGGGCUCAACCCCGGAAUUGCCUUUAAGACUGCAUCGCUAGAAUCAUGGAGAGGUGAGUGGAAUUCCGAGUGUAGAGGUGAAAUUCGUAGAUAUUCGCAAGAACACCAGUGGCGAAGGCGGCUCACUGGCCCGAUACUGACGCUGAGGCACGAAAGCGUGGGGAGCAAACAGG